CCAAUAGCGUAUAUUAAAGUUGUUGCAGUUAAAAAGCUCGUAGUUGAAUUUCGGGAUUGACACAUCGGUCGUGCCUUAAGGGGCAUGAACUGGUGUAGUCAAUUUCUCACCUUCUGGAGAACCGCGAUGCCCUUAAUUGGGUGUCGCGGGGAACCAGGACCUUUACUUUGAAAAAAUUAGAGUGUUUAAAGCAGGCAUUUUGCUUGAAUACAUUAGCAUGGAAUAAUAAAAUAGGACGGCAUGAUUCUAUUUUGUUGGUUUCUAGGAUCACCGUAAUGAUUAAUAGGGAUAGUUGGUGGCAUUAGUAUUCAAUUGUCAGAGGUGAAAUUCUUGGAUUUAUUGAAGACUAACUACUGCGAAAGCAUUUGCCAAGGAUGUUUUCAUUAAUCAAGAACGAAAGUUAGGGGAUCGAAGACGAUCAGAUACCGUCGUAGUCUUAACCAUAAACUAUGCCGACUAGGAAUCAGACGAUGUUAAUUUUUUAAUGACUCGUUUGGCACCUUACG
rnacentral:misc_RNA from 1 species